rnacentral:rRNA from 1 species
ACUCCUACGGGAGGCAGCAGUGGGGAAUAUUGCACAAUGGGCGCAAGCCUGAUGCAGCCAUGCCGCGUGUAUGAAGAAGGCCUUCGGGUUGUAAAGUACUUUCAGCAGUGAGGAAGGCGGGUACGUUAAUAGCGUGCUCGUUUGACGUUAGCUGCAGAAGAAGCACCGGCUAACUCCGUGCCAGCAGCCGCGGUAAUACGGAGGGUGCGAGCGUUAAUCGGAAUUACUGGGCGUAAAGCGCAUGCAGGUGGUUUGUUAAGUCAGAUGUGAAAGCCCGGGGCUCAACCUCGGAAUUGCAUUUGAAACUGGCAGGCUAGAGUACUGUAGAGGGGGGUAGAAUUUCAGGUGUAGCGGUGAAAUGCGUAGAGAUCUGAAGGAUACCGGUGGCGAAGGCGGCCCCCUGGACAGAUACUGACACUCAGAUGCGAAAGCGUGGGGAGCAAACAGGAUUAGAUACCCUGGUAGAAAGCG